GCCCAGGGCUACCAUUGGCUGGGUAGUGGAAUGUUGACCAAUCACAGCUCAGGGACGUGGUCGCCUCAUUGUCCUGGGAUCGCGGGAGGGGUAUAUAUAGGAAGACCAGGCAGCCUGCCGUUGACUGUUGGGAGACUUUGAGCUGCGGAAGGUGAGUCCAAAGCCGGGAGCCUCGGGACCUCCCGCCGAGGCCAAGGAGACACGAAACAGGAAGUCCUCUCAGCCGAGCCCCAGUGGCCCGAAGAAGAAGACUACCGAGGUGGCCGAGAAGGGAAAAGCCGCUCGUAGAGGGAGACGCGGGAAGAAAAGGGCUGCGAAAAAGAUGGCGGCUGUGACGGCACCUGAGGCGGGGAGCGGAGCAGCGGCACCCGGCCCCAGUGACCAGCCCAGCCAGGAGCUCCCUCAGCACGAGCUGCCACCGGAGGAGCCAGUGAGCGAGGGGUCCCAGCACGACCCACUGAGUCAGGAGACCGAGCUGGAAGAACUACCCAGUGUGUGGACGGCCGAGUACUCCCCUAUAUCCCCGAGCAGUGACUAAGUUCAGGCCCAGGUGCCAGACCUCAGAGAUCUCACCAGCAGGGUGCUUCCCCUGCUGAUGACAAUAAAAUGAAUGUGUUGC